ACGGAAGGCAGCAGUGAGGAAUAUUGGUCAAUGGGCGAGAGCCUGAACCAGCCAAGUCGCGUGAAGGAAGAAGGUAUUAUGUAUUGUAAACUUCUUUAGACGUAGAGAAAUAAGCGGGUCGUGACCCGUGAUGCUAGUAUACGUAGAAUAAGGAUCGGCUAACUCCGUGCCAGCAGCCGCGGUAAUACGGAGGAUCCGAGCGUUAUCCGGAUUUAUUGGGUUUAAAGGGUGCGCAGGCGGUCUUUUAAGUCAGUGGUUAAAUAGUGAGGCUCAACCUCAUCCCGCCAUUGAUACUGGGAGACUUGAUUGCGGUCGAGGUUGGCGGAAUUCGCCGUGUAGCGGUGAAAUGCAUAGAUAUGGCGAAGAACUCCGAUUGCGUAGGCAGCUGACCAGGCCGUAAAUGACGCUCAUGCACGAAAGUGCGGGGAUCGAACAGGAUUAGAUACCCUGGUA
rnacentral:rRNA from 1 species